rnacentral:tRNA from 1 species
GCGGGAGUGCCAGAGUGGUCAAAUGGGAUACGUUAAGGCCGUAUUGGCUUAGUGCCUACAGGGGUUCAAAUCCUCUCUCCCGCA